GGUCUGAUGGCGUAGUUGGUUAUCGCAUCUGUCUAACACACAGAAGGUCCUCAGUUCGAGCCUGGGUCAGAUCA